rnacentral:rRNA from 1 species
CCUACGGGUGGCUGCAGUAGGGAAUAUUGCUCAAUGGGGGAAACCCUGAAGCAGCAACGCCGCGUGGAGGAUGAAGGUUUUCGGAUUGUAAACUCCUUUUGUUAGAGAAGAUAAUGACGGUAUCUAACGAAUAAGCACCGGCUAACUCCGUGCCAGCAGCCGCUGUAAUACGGAGGGUGCAAGCGUUACUCGGAAUCACUGGGCGUAAAGGGCGCGUAGGCGGGUUAGCAAGUCAGAUGGUAAAUCCUUUGGCUUAACCAUAGAACUGCAUUUGAAACUGUUAUUCUAGAGUAUGGUAGAGGUAGGUGGAAUUCCUGGUGUAGCGGUGAAAUGCGUAGAGAUCAAGAAGAAUACUCAUUGCGAAGGC